rnacentral:rRNA from 1 species
CCCUACGGGACGCAGCAGUGGGGAAUAUUGGGCAAUGGGCGCAAGCCUGACCCAGCAACGCCGCGUGAAGGAAGAAGGCUUUCGGGUUGUAAACUUCUUUUCUUGGGGACGAAGAAAGUGAUGGUACCCAAGGAAUAAGCCACGGCUAACUACGUGCCAGCAGCCGCGGUAAUACGUAGGUGGCAAGCGUUAUCCGGAUUUAUUGGGUGUAAAGGGCGUGUAGGCGGGAUUGCAAGUCAGAUGUGAAAACCACGGGCUCAACCUGUGGCCUGCAUUUGAACCUGUAGUUUUU